rnacentral:rRNA from 1 species
GUGAGGAAUAUUGCGCAAUGGAGGCAACUCUGACGCAGCCAUGCCGCGUGCAGGAAGAAGGCGCUACGCGUUGUAAACUGCUUUUAACCGGGAAGAAACCCCAGGACGUGUCCUGGGUUGACGGUACCGGAGGAAUAAGCACCGGCUAACUUCGUGCCAGCAGCCGCGGAAAUACGAAGGGUGCAAGCGUUAUCCGGAUUCAUUGGGUGUAAAGGGUGCGUAGGCGGAGCGUUAAGUCAGUGGUGAAAUCCUGCAGCUUAACUGUAGACUUGCCAUUGUUACUGGGGCGCUUGAGUGCGCUUGAAGUGGGCGGAAUGUGCCGUGUAGCGGUGAAAUGCUGAGAUAUAGCACAGAACACCAAUUGCGAAGGCAGCUCACUAAGGCGAUACUGACGCUGAGGCACGAAAGCGUGGGGAUCGAACAGGAUUAGAAACCCUGGUAGUCC